CAUUACAGGCAACAAGGUCAUCAUCAACUACCAUGGAACACUCAGCAAUACAUUUGGGGUUUUUUUGCACAGCAGAACCCGCAUUUUGUUCUUCAAAACUCUGUGAAAAAAUUAUUGACUGCUGCUGAGUGACACUUCUAAGGUCUGACACACCUCAGUCUUCUUGAAGCGCAUCCUGACUCCAGGACACCAGCGGAACACAGUGAAAGGGCGUGCACAGAUCUGGGACAGAACACAACAGCAGACACAUUAUGAUACACACUAUGCUGUAUGUGCAUCUGCGUAGCUUGAGGAUAAUGAUGAAUUAAUUAUAUUAUACAUUCUGUA